rnacentral:rRNA from 1 species
UUAUUGUGACAAUGGGGCGAAAGCCUGAUCCAGCCAUGCCGCGUGUGUGAAGAAGGUCUUCGGAUUGUAAAGCACUUUAAGUUGGGAGGAAGGGCAGUAAGUUAAUACCUUGCUGUUUUGACGUUACCGACAGAAUAAGCACCGGCUAACUUCGUGCCAGC